rnacentral:rRNA from 1 species
AUUGAACGCUGGCGGCAGGCCUAACACAUGCAAGUCGAACGGAGCGGCGGACGGGUAAGUAAUGCCUAGGAAUCUGCCUGGGAGUGGCGGAUCCCGUCCAGAAACGGGACCUAUUACCGCAUCCUUUCAGAUUCGCCUAGGUCGGAUUUGCUAGUUGGUGGUGUAAAGGCCUACCAAGGCGACGAUACGUAACUGGUCUGAGUGGAUGAUCAGUCACACUGUAACUGAGACACGGUCCAGACUCCUACGGGAGGCAGCAGUGGGGAAUAUUGGACAAUGGGCGAAAGCCUGAUCCAGCCAUGCCGCGUGUGUGAAGAAGGUCUUCGGAUUGUAAAGCACUUUAAGUUGGGAGGCGUUACCAACAGAAUAAGCACCGGCUAACUUCGUGCCAGCAGCCGCGGUAAUAC